rnacentral:rRNA from 1 species
AACGCGAAGAACCUUACCUAGGUUUGACAUGCACUGGACAGGGUAUGAAAGUACCUCUCCCUUCGGGGCCGGUGCACAGGUGCUGCAUGGCUGUCGUCAGCUCGUGUCGUGAGAUGUUCGGUUAAGUCCGGUAACGAGCGCAACCCCCGUUCUUAGUUGCUAACGAGUAAUGUCGAGAACUCUAAGGAUACAAACUCAUUAUAUGAGUGGGAAGGUGGGGAUGAAGUCAAGUCAGUAUGGCCCUUACACCUAGGGCUGCACACGUGCUACAAUGCCUGGUACAAUGAGAAGCAAUACCGCGAGGUGGAGCAAAUCUAUAAAACCAGGCCCAGUUCAGAUUGGAGUCUGCAAUUCGACUCCAUGAAGCCGGAAUCGCUAGUAAUGGCGUAUCAGCUACGACGCCGUGAAUACGUUCCCGGGCCUUGUACACACCGCUCGUC